CGGUUCCAAUUAACUGUUUAAAACACUUGGCAAUAAUAAUUCAGGCUGAUUGGUGUCAUUAUUUGAGCAGUAAUGAUGGUGUUGGUUUGUUUGAUCCUGUAUUUUUGGGAUAUGCCAAGGACUUGGAAAUUAUGUAAUGAAGAUAAGCAAAGGAUCUGCUGUUUUACUUAUGGCUGUGAAAAACAUAUUGCUUGGGUGGGGUCACAAAAAUCCUCUCUUCAAUUUUCCCAGGGAAUAUAACUUUAUGUUCUCAUAAAGUUUAAACUUCUCUUCAUCGUUCAAGUGUAUACUUCUCGGAAAAAAAAAACCCAAAUGUAGGUAAAUGAGCUUUUUAGUUUUAAUUCCACAUCAAUGAAUAUUCUUUUGGUUUCAAAGCAGUGGCAUCUCCAUUCCCUUAGAGAAGCAGGAUCACAGUAAUUGAAAAUGAAGUAUGAUUCGGUUUGCUAGAUUAUAAAUUUUCAGAAUGCCUCCUUCAGCAAAAAAGAGAUAGAUUGUUAUUAAUAACACUUAUAAUAAUGAGUAGUAUUUAGGAUGAGACACUAAGGUUGGAAGAGUCCUGGAGGGUAUACGUCAUAGCCACUCAAUACGUGAAUCCCCUCUUCUAUGUCCAACCCCUCAAGGGUCGUCCAAGCUUAACCACCUUUGGCUAUCUAGAAACUCAGUGACAUUAUUUCUUCAACAAAUAACAGUUGUCAUGGUUCAGAUGAUCAGAGUCUUAAUUUAUCAUCAUAAUGUGUCUAAUUGCAUUAUAAUUAUCUAUUAUUGAGAUAGGAAUUUACUAUGAUAUAAAAAAUACCCCCUUAAAUCAAUCACACUCGAACCAUAGCAUCCUCAUUUGCAUCAGACAUCUUUAAUUGGAGAGGACCGGCUGAAUGGAGCCCAAGGUGUCGAAAGAGACCUUGAGACAUCCAGGGGCCUACUGUGUCCCUUCAAGCGGGGUAGAUGCCAUGACAGUACCUUUGUAGACAUUAAAGAGGCUCCCUUGAAAGGGAGAGCUGUGGAGGUGGAGUUGAGGAGAUGGCUCAGUCAGUAAACUUCUUGCCACACAAGCCUGAAGACCUGAGUUCAGAUCCUCAGAACCCACGUAAAGAGAGGAGAAAAACGCUGAGCAUGAUAGCUCCUCUGUGACCUCAGUACAAGUGUGGCAGGAAAAAAGUGGGUCCUGGGAGCUUGCUGGUCAGCCACUCUAGCCAAGUAGGUGGUUUAGGAGCCAACUGGGUGUAGAUGGCCUGCGUUCACUCUCAUUUCUGGGGAAGGAAAGCAUUAUGCACACCUAUAAAUCCUGCCUUUUACAAUAAUGAAGAAAUUAAAAAGAGCCAAUGCCAUUUUCUUUCUUGAUACAAUUAGCUGAUCAAACUUCUCAAUUUGGAGGGCUCAGCUGAUUGAGUUGCAGAGCACACGCUGUUUAGUGAAAUCUAUGGCCAUGGCUAGUUCCACUGAUCGUUUUUCUCUGUCAUGAAGGUGUUAUUAUGGUUUCUACCUUUCCUGGUAAAUUAACCCCUCCAGUUCCCAUUCCAGGCAUCAAACUUCCCGGUGUUUGGGAAGGAUCUUACAUGGGGGACUGUGGUAUGACCCCAGAGGCCUUGACCAUCCCUGGUUGGUGGUGACAAAUCACAGGGGCAGAUCUUUCUGCUCUCCAGGGAACCCACGGACCCUAGAGUUGGUAUAUGUCACAGGCUCCUAGAUAAUUCUGAAAUUCUUUUAGGUUCAGGGAUUAAUCACCAAAGACUGUGUCUCCAGGAGCUUGAGAUUCCAACAAUAAUCUUCUUUUCGGUCUCUAAGAGUUCUGGAUGGGAAAGCCAUGGUCCAUUGAGCGGGGUGGUGGUGAGCAGGGGUUAGGGACAGCGUGGGAGAUGGUGACAGAGGGGCCUGAUAUGGAGGGUGGAAGAAUCAAAGAGAAACUUGGUGCAUUUGAUGAUGGAGCUUGGAGCCAGCUCUGCUUGAGUGGACCUGGCCCGGAAGCCUGCCAUCUCACUUCUCGGAGAUGAAGAUGAUGAGAGUGCGCGUGGUAGGGGAUUGUUAGGUUUCAAGAAUUUAUACGGUAUGAUGGUUUUUCUCCUCUUCCCAAUCCAAGAAACAAAACAAAAUCCAAUGUAAACUAACUGUCAAGUCUGAGGGCUGAGUCUUUACUGGAAUUUAUUAGAUGUGGAAAUAGCGUGGCUUCGCAUGAGGGGAAGCUGCAUUGGUAAUCUGAUGCUGGAAAGGUGGAUGUUCCAGUUGGGGAGGCUUAUGCGAAUGGACGCACAGCAGUCCUAAAGGGAACAGGAUUCCAGAGUUGUACACGAUAUUGUUUGCGCACUCUCUGUCAGACCCAGGCUUCUUGGGGCUAAAGCUUCAGGGAUGAAGGACAGGGCUCUUCCCUGGCACACGACCCACAGUCAGGAAACCCAGUAAAAACCAAUUCAGUUAACUGCAAACACUUUAUGAGAAUGACUAUGGAUACUCUUUCUCUAGAAUUAGAAGAAAGAAAAAAAGAGACUCCAUUUUUUUAAAAACAAAUAUUUCAACAGCUCUUCAGUUAGAUUUCUCCCAAGCUUAAGGCGUUAGCUUCUCCUUGAAUUGUGCCUUGCUCCUUUUUCUUAAGAUUAUGACAUGUUAAAUGGUGAUUUACUCAUUUCUGUAAUUAGAUGUAGAGAUUAGAAUCCCCUUUAUCUUACUCUGCAGUUUUCCUUUAUGGGAAAUUAUGAAAGAAUAAUAGGUAAAAAGUUCAGAAUGGGAGAAAGAAUAAACAGAAUGCUGAAUGGAUAAUAAAAUAUUUAGUGCUUUUCAAUUAACUGUUCUCACGAUUAGUACACUAGUAUAUUAUAUCAUAAAAAUCAUGUCUAUUAAUUUUUUGCAGCCAUUAUCUUGACUGUGAUUUACUCCCUUCAAAUCAUUAACAAUGCCAUUAAAAAGGUGGAUGGGGAUGGAUGUCCUGGAGAGAGUUCAGGGAUGUAAUAGGAUUAUUGUUCAGGGUCACAUGGAGAUUGAAAACGGGAGAGCGGAGGGGAAGCGGCGGGAGAGAGAAGUGCUGAGAGCAGGAAGAAGAUGGAGGACGAUGCCUGCCCACGGCCCCACGAUACAGAGUCAAGUCGGUCCCUCCAUGAGAAUGCGGGGGAAGGGACCUUAGCUGAGGCAACGUUGCUUGGAGUGGAAGAAGAUGCCGCGUGUAAAAGGCUUAGUGACUUGAGUGUGUGGGCUUUGCUCAUGGUAGAAUUUCAUUGCUUGGGGAGGGGAAGAGAAAUCUAUGUAUGGAGGAGAGUCCUUAGGGUUCCCCCAGGGCCAACGAGGCAUUUAUAUUCCAAGGAUGCUCAAGGCUCAAGGGCGGCACUUCUACCCAGCCAAAGAAGGAACCCCGACUCUUCAUAAAUAGUUCUCUUAGGGAAAGUGAGGUAAGCCACAUAAACCGGGGAGUGUUAGCCAAGAGACUGGGGCACUCCGGGGUUGCAGCUGUGCUGUGUGCUGACAACCUGCAGACUCCAUUUCUUUACUUUGUCUUCCUUUGGCUAAUCAGCUAGUCAGCCUUCAAGGCUGAUGCACCAUGAACAUAUGUGUCUUGCCUAUGCAUGGCAAGCAAGGUUCUAGAGAACAGUGCUUUGGUGAGGUGUUCUUGUUCUUUAGUUUCCUGUUUUUCUCAGUAGGGACAACUCUACCAGUUUGGAUUCCAGGUCUGCAGUCUUGAUUUGCUGUCUUAGGGGCUGUGAGUACAUCUGGAGAUAACCAAGGGGUGCCCUCCUGUUUAAAUACUGUGCAACUUGAUGGCAGAAUUCAGACUGAAUUUCUAGCAGACUAGUUUGCUUGCGAGAAUCACUUUUGGCUUGGACAUUUUAACCAGGAAACAUAACAUUGCUCUAUCCUAUUAAUACCAGCUGUGGGCAGUCGGUCAGCACUGAUGUGCACUGCCAGAUGUUAGCUGAAACCUCAAAAGAAAAAGACCAACCAAACAAAAAACGAUAAAACAAAACAAAACAACAAAAAAACUCUUUUCAAAGAAGUUGUAAUGCCAACAUUUUAUAAAUCAGAGUCCAUGUGCUUUUUUUAAUUAUUACUUUUUCUAGACUUCUGCAUUCCAGAUAAUAAUUUCAAUGAUGAAACCUUAUGAUAUGGAGACACAUAUUUGUUUAGGCAGCUGGUAAGUGUACGUGGAAACAUUACAGAUAGUAUCUAAUAUCCAUACAUCCCUUUAAUUACUCUGAACUUAGCCGUGUAAGUGGAUGGGUGAUGGAUGUCCUGACCACACCCAGUGCUACUAAUUUCCUGAUCAUUUUGGAUCCUUCCAAUGGAAUCAGAUCACAGCCAUUGCUUGGCUUUAGAAUGAACAAUGAAUGACUUUGUAUUUUGUAGUGUCAUGUUUUGAUUAUUGGCACAACUCAGCUUAAAUGAUGGCGGCCCAAAGGCCCCUCUACCUUUUCUUAUAUACCUAUAUUUGUUGUUUGUUUUGAGACAGAGUUUCUCUGAGUAGCUCUGGCAGUCCUAGAACUUGUUCUGCCGACCAGGCUGGCCUUGAACUCAGAGAUUAGCUUGCGUCUGCCUCCUAAGUCCUGGGAAUAAAGGCAUGGGUCAUCUUUGCCCGGCUCUGUGCCUUUUCUUUUAAAACCAUUUUAAAAACUAAAAUAUAAUCAUUUCACUUCCCCCUUCUUUUUUCUCCCUCCAACUCCUCUCUGUCUAUCUUAUUCUUAAAAUGGUAAGAGAUCUUUCUAGAAAUCGGAAGUCUUGUUAGUGGAAAUGGAGCAGGCUGUCAUUAGACAAAUGGUAAGACAUGUUCACAGGAACAAAUGCUUCAGGAAAUCAGAGUCCCACUAUGUCCAGAGAGAGGUUGUGUACAACAGAAUUUCUCAAAAAACCUUUACUGCUGGAACCACUGGGCAUUUGUGAAGUAACACUCGGCCUCAGUGGCUGCCACCAGGGGCUCCCACCUCAGCUGGGCAUUCGGACUUUCAGUGAAGAACUGCUGAUCCCCAACACUGAAGAUUCUGACCUAGUCCUUUUGGGUUGGCAUUCGAGCAGUAGCUUCUCUUGUUUUUAGUUUUUUAUGUGAGGCGUGGUCUGGCUCUGUAGCUGAAGCUGGCCUUGAACUUGUGUUCUUCAUGCAUCAGCUUCUUGUGGUAUUCCAGCCCAUGCUAUCACACACUGCUGCCUUGGCAGUUUUAAAUGAUUUGCAAGUGAUUAUUUUGGGAUUUCGAGAGACUUAAGAAUAAUUGUCUGGUGUAGUUUGAAGGCAAGCUUAAUAAUAGAACCUUAUUUGCAUCAGCAUAGGAGACUACAAUGAGGGGGGCAGUCUGCAUUGCUCAGACAAGCAUAGAAGGGGACCUUUCUUCCCAGUUUGGUGUCCUACUUAGCCUCCUAAUAAUCUACCAGUGUCCAGCUGCCUUAGUCCGGAGACGGUCAGAAUGUUUUCUAGUGUAUGGUAACUUGUCAGAGCCCAGUGACAGGAUUCAGGUGGUUAGCCCCAUCCCAGGAAGGACCAUGUGGGCUGAGGAGCCCUCUUAAGCUCCUUGAUCUUUCUUUUUCUGCAGCUAAGAAAGGCCAAGUUCAGGGAUCACACUCAAUCCCAGGGACAAGGAUUACCUCAGCGUGCUGCUCCCCACAACCACAGCUCUGAGCAGCGUGGGAAGACAAAGACAGCUGUGCCCGCUGGCGGCCUCAGAUGUUCCCACAGCAGCGCUACACUGCAGGGUCCCCAGGGUCAUCAAAUAUUCAGGAGGAUGUCGGAGUCCUUUGUAUCACAGCCAGAAAUGCCACGUGCUCCGGGUUGGAUCGCACUGGGCUCUUGUCGCUGCCAGUAGUGGAUUGUGAGAAAGGGGAAAUGGCUCUUUUAUCAAACUGAAUGCUGAUAGCAGAUUAUGGGUAUCUUUGUGUGAGAUAGAAUGACAGAUUUUCCGGCUUCUUGUUCAAGAAAAAAAUGGCUAAAUGAGAACUGUGCUGGACUAAGAGUCCAUCCAUUCCUGAAGAAAAUCACUGUCUUUAGUUCUUAUUGUAAUCCGUUUUUAAAGGCGGCGGCCUGUCCUUGGGAGGAGCCGGAAUCAGGGCACACUGCAAAGCCUGUUGGGUAGUUAGCUGUUUUUAGUUGAUAAGCACAGGAAAGCUAAAGCAGCCUUAAAACUCCCUGGUGGCUGGGGAUGCCAGAAAAUGCCACUGAGUGGACGAGCACAUGGCCACACAGCAGAUGCCUCCUCCAUUUCCCCUCAGACGUGCGACUUCUUUCAGAGGGAGAUAAACAGCCUUUGCAACAGAGAAUUAGAAUAUCCAUCUUGGUGACAUUUUCUUCUUCUAUUCAAACUGUUUUUCUUAACACAGUUAAGAGUACUGUGUUUUUUAGAGUUUUGUCUUUUCUGAAUGACUGGAAAGAUUCACAGUAGCUUAAUAUCAUUUCUCUGGUCAGUCAGCCAAUGGGAAGAUUAAGUGGGUUUCCAUACCAGCCCUCCUUGGUCCGGUUUUAGCAGACAUUUUCUGACAGUGAUGAGAGAAUAGGAAUUUGCUCAUUAAAUUGACCAAGGAAAACAGCAGGGUGUGGCGGUCUGCUUCUUAUUAGAACUGGUAUUAAACUGCAUAAGUAAAAGAGGAGGAGGAAAAGAAGAAGGAAUGAAUAAUAAUAACAACAAAACAAUAAUAACAAUAAUAAUAAUGAUAGUAACAAUAACAGGUAAAUGGAAACUGUAAAAAUUUAGAAAGCUGGUUAUAUGUAGUACUAGGGAGAGAGCAUCAAAACACAAGCCGGGACCUGUUGGUUACAACACACCUUAAGACGUAACAAAUUGUGACCAAGAUCCACAUCUUGGAACCAGAAGGUUAUCAGCUGUCUUUUUGACACUAGGUCAAUGAAACAUGUCCUCUGCACAGGAGGUGGUGAAAAUGGAGUCCUUUGUGGUUCUGAGGUAGGCCCUGCUUUCAUUAACUCUAGACUGUAGACUUGAUAGUUGCUGGCCGGGAAGGUAGGCUGAGCACAUAUGUGGAUUUAGACUGAGGAAAUCCUCAAGGCUUCAGUCCCACAGAGAGAUUCAAACUCUAACGAGCUGAGUGACCUUGACCCAGCCAGCCCUUCUGCAUCCCAAGCCUUCCUUUGCUCAGCCAGGAAACAGAUCUCCUCAGGGAGUAAUGGGAAACUCAACUGUUCUCAGUGUCUGGGAAGAUGUAAAGAAACCAUGAUAGUUUCUAACAUAACUAUUAAAAACAAUAAAAAUCAUGUAGUGGGCAAA